UACGUAGGGCGCGAGCGUAAUCGGAAUAAUUGGGCGUAAAGGGUGCGCAGGCGGUAAGUUAAGACGGAUGUGAAAGCCCCGGGCUCAACCUGGGAAUUGCGAUGAAGACUGCAAGGCUUGAAUCUGGCAGAGGGGGGUAGAAUUCCGCGUGUAGCAGUGAAAUGCGUAGAGAUGCGGAGGAACACCGAUGGCGAAGGCAGCCCCCUGGGUCGACACUGACGCUCAGGCACGAAAGCGUGGGGAGCAAACAGG
rnacentral:rRNA from 1 species